CCUACGGGAGGCAGCAGUGGGGAAUAUUGGGCAAUGGGCGCAAGCCUGACCCAGCAACGCCGCGUGAAGGAAGAAGGCUUUCGGGUUGUAAACUUCUUUUCUGAGGGACGAGGAAAGUGACGUUACCUGAGGAAUAGCCAAGGGCUAACUACGUGCCAGCAGCCGCGGAAAUACGUAGGUGGCAAGCGUUAUCCGGAUUUAUUGGGGGUAAAGGGCGUGUAGGCGGGAGGGCAAGUCAGAUGUGAAACCUCAGGGCUCAACCCGGAACCUGCAUUUGAAACGGUGUUUCUUGAGUACUGGAGAGGCAAUCGGAAUUCCGAGUGUAGCGGUGAAAUGCGUAGAUAUACGGAGGAACACCAGUGGCGAAGGCGGAUUACUGGACAGUAACUGACGCUGAGGCGCGAAAGCGUGGGGAGCAAACAGGAUUAGAUACCCUUGUAGUC
rnacentral:rRNA from 1 species